rnacentral:rRNA from 1 species
AGAUUGAACGCUGGCGGCAGGCCUAACACAUGCAAGUCGAGCGGCAGCACGGGUACUUGUACCUGGUGGCGAGCGGCGGACGGGUGAGUAAUGCCUAGGAAUCUGCCUGGUAGGUGGGGGAUAACGCUCGGAAACGGACGCUAAUACCGCAUACGUCCUACGGGAGAAAGCGAGGGGACCUUCGGGCCUUGCGCUAUCAGAUGAGCCUAGGUCGGAUUAGCUAGUUGGUGAGGUAUGGCUCACCGAGGCGACGAUCCGUAACGUGGUCUGGAGAGGAUGAUCAGUCACACGUAGGACUGAAGACGACGGUACCACGACCUCCGUACGGGAGGCAG